GUCAUUGAACACUCAUUGGUUUCUUUUUCCAACAAAGAGAGCAGAACGCAGAGGAGAAUUGGCUGGUAAAGGUUGAAUAUUGAACUAAAUACUGGCAGCAUUCAGUCUCAAAAUUUGUAAACUGAUGAAAGCUGUGUCUCAGAUAGAUGUGAAGGUAGAAAGUGUGUGUGAGCUGAUGUGAAUUGAGCAGCAUGGAUCAGUGUGAGGACAGAGAGGAGGGAGUCCCUCCCUCUAAAAGCACUCUGUGUGGGGAACAUGAGAGCCAGACCAAAGCUCAGAGGAACCAACCUGGACCUCCACCCAGCUCUGUGUCCUUACAGAGUGACGCGUCCAAUCAUCGAGGCAUUGAUUUUAAAGACCAGCCUGUGUCUGCUGCAGAGAGGUGAGCUGUUGGUAACAUGAACUCUUUGAUUUAACUGCUUGAUGUUGUUGGAUAUAAACUGCAGUGCAAACACGUCAUUCCCUUGAUGCCAUUUAAACUGUCUCUUAAAAACAAGCCUUUGGUUUCUAAACAACUGAAAAUCCACUUCAGCAAACAGGAAGUGAUGCUUGUGCUCAUGUUUUCUUUCAUCAGUCAUGUUGUGCUGUAUGUUGGAGGAAGUUAGAGGGGGUAACACUAAUUUUGAUGCAGAGAUUUCACUUUUGCUCAU
rnacentral:lncRNA from 1 species